GUAGUCAUAAAGCUUGUCUCAAAGAUUAAGCCAUGCAUGUCUAAGUAUAAGCAAUUAUACGGCGAAACUGCGAAUGGCUCAUUACACAAGUUAUCGUUUAUUUGAUAGUAUCUUACUACUUGGAUAACUGUGGUAAUUCUAGAGCUAAUACAUGCUAAAAAUCCCGACUUCGGAAGGGAUGUAUUUAUUAGAUCAAAAAACCAAUGCCCUCCGGGCUCUGUGGGGAAUCAUAAUAACUGCGCGAAUCGUAUGGCCUUGCGCUGGCGAUGGUUCAUUCAAAUUUCUUCCCUAUCAACUUUCGAUGUUCGGGUAGUGGCCAAACAUGGUUGCAACGGGUAACGGAGGGUUAGGGCUCGAUCCCGGAGAAGGAGCCUGAGAAACGGCUACUACAUCCAAGGAAGGCAGCAGGCGCGCAAAUUACCCAAUCCCGAUCCGGGGAGGUAGUGACAAUAAAUACUGAUACAGGGCUCUUUUGGGUCUUGUAAUUGGAAUGAGUACAAUUUAAAUCCCUUAACGAGGAACAAUUGGAGGGCAAGUCUGGUGCCAGCAGCCGCGGUAAUUCCAGCUCCAAUAGCGUAUAUUAAAGUUGUUGUGGUUAAAAAGCUCGUAGUUGAACCUUGGGCCUGGCUGGCCGGUCCGCCUCACCGCGUGUACUGGUCCGGCCGGGUCUUUCACUCUGUGGAACCACAUGCCCUUCACUGGGUGUGGCGGGGAAACAGGACUUUUACUUUGAAAAAAUUAGAGUGCUCCAGGCAGGCCUAUGCUCGAAUACAUUAGCAUGGAAUAAUGAAAUAGGACGUGCGGUUCUAUUUUGUUGGUUUCUAGGACCGCCGUAAUGAUUAAUAGGGACAGUCGGGGGCAUCAGUAUUCAAUUGUCAGAGGUGAAAUUCUUGGAUUUAUUGAAGACUAACUACUGCGAAAGCAUUUGCCAAGGAUGUUUUCAUUAAUCAGGAACGAAAGUUAGGGGAUCGAAGACGAUCAGAUACCGUCGUAGUCUUAACCAUAAACUAUGCCGACUAGGGAUCGGACGAUGUUAUUUUUUGACUCGUUCGGCACCUUACGAGAAAUCAAAGUGCUUGGGCUCCAGGGGGAGUAUGGUCGCAAGGCUGAAACUUAAAGGAU
rnacentral:rRNA from 1 species